rnacentral:rRNA from 1 species
UACGUAGGGUGCAAGCGUUGUCCGGAAUUAUUGGGCGUAAAGAGCUCGUAGGCGGUUUGUCGCGUCUGCUGUGAAAACGCGAGGCUCAACCUCGGGCCUGCAGUGGGUACGGGCAGACUAGAGUGCGGUAGGGGAGAUUGGAAUUCCUGGUGUAGCGGUGGAAUGCGCAGAUAUCAGGAGGAACACCAAUGGCGAAGGCAGAUCUCUGGGCCGUAACUGACGCUGGAGGAGCGAAAGCAUGGGGAGCGAACAGG